rnacentral:rRNA from 1 species
AUUGAACGCUGGCGGCAGGCUUAACACAUGCAAGUCGAGCGAGCGGCGGACGGGUGAGCAAUGUCUGGGAAACUGCCUGAUGGAGGGGGAUAACUACUGGAAAUGGUAGCUAAUACCGCAUACCAUCAGAUGUGCCCAGUUGGGAUUAGAUAGUAGGUGGGGUAAUGGCUCACCUAGGCGACGAUCCCUAGCUGGUCUGAGAGGAUGACCAGCAACACUGGAACUGAGACACGGUCCAGACUCCUACGGGAGGCAGCAGUGGGGAAUAUGGCACAAUGGGCGCAAGUCUGAUGCAGCCAUGCCGCGGGUGUGAAGAAGGCCUUCGGGUUGUAAAGCACUUUCGGCGGGGAGGCGUUACUCGCAGAAGAAGCACCGGCUAACUCCGUGCCAGCAGCCGCGGUAAUAC